UACAGGGGGGGCAAGCGUUGUUCGGAAUUACUGGGCGUAAAGGGUCUGUAGGUGGCUUGCUAAGUCAGACGUGAAAUCCCUCGGCUUAACCGGGGAACUGCGUCUGAUACUGGAUGGCUUGAGUUUGGGAGAGGGACGCGGAAUUCCAGGUGUAGCGGUGAAAUGCGUAGAUAUCUGGAGGAACACCGGUGGCGAAGGCGGCGUUCUGGACUGCAACUGACACUGAGGAACGAAAGCCAGGGGAGCAAACGGG
rnacentral:rRNA from 1 species